AUCUAUGGCCAUGCCACCCCAAACUAAACCGGAUCAGGUCUGAUCUCGGAAGCUAAGCAAGGUCGGGCCUGGUUAGCACUUGGAUGGGAGACCACCUAGGAAGACCAGGUGCUGUAGGCG
rnacentral:rRNA from 1 species